rnacentral:rRNA from 1 species
GAGCGAGUCUGCCUUGAAGAUCGGAGUUGCUUGCACUCUGUGAAACAAGAUACAGGCUAGCGGCGGACGGGUGAGUAACACGUGGGUAACCUGCCCAAAGAGAUCGGGAUAACACCUGGAAAACAGAUGCUAAUACCGGAUAACAACAGAUGAUGCCUAUCAACUGUUUAAAAGUAUGGUUCUGCUAUCACUCUUGGGAUGGGGCCUGCGGUGCAUUAGCUAGUUGGUAGGGGUAAACGGGCCUACCAAGGCGAUGAUGCAUAGCCGAGUUGAGAGACUGAUCGGCCACAUUGGGACUGAGACACGGCCCAAACUCCUACGGGAGGCAGCAGUAGGGAAUCUUCCACAAUGGACGCAAGUCUGAUGGAGCGAAACGCCGCGUGAGUGAAGAAGGGUUUCGGCUCGUAAAGCUCUGUUGUUGGUGAAGAAGGACAGGGGGUAGUAACUGACCUUUGUUUGACGGUAAUCAAUUAGAAAAGUCACGGGCUAACUACGUGCCAGCAGCCGCGGUAAAU